rnacentral:rRNA from 1 species
CACCGGUUCCCAUUCCGAACACACAGGUUAAGCCCUCCAGCGCCGAUGGUACUGGGGAGGUCCCCCGGGAGAGUAGGUCGCCGCCGAAA